ACUAUUUUGACAGAAAAAUGUGUUGAUUUUAGAAUUCAUUAAUAUAUAUAAUAUUUAUAUUUAUAUAAGUAGUA
rnacentral:tRNA from 1 species